rnacentral:rRNA from 1 species
UACGAGGGGUGCUAGCGUUAUUCGGAAUUAUUGGGCGUAAAGGGUGCGUAGGUGGCACGCUAAGUCAACUGUUAAAUUCCUCGGCCUAACCGAGGAUCUGCGGUAGAUACUGGCGAGCUAGAGGGUGGAAGAGAGAAGUGGAAUUCUCGGAGUAGCGGUAAAAUGCGUAGAUCUCGAGAGGAACACCAAUGGCGAAGGCAGCUUCUUGGUCCACACCUGACACUGAGGCACGAAAGCGUGGGGAGCAAACAGG